rnacentral:rRNA from 1 species
ACGCACGCUGGCGGCGUGCUUCACACAUGCCAGUCGAACGGAAAGGCCCCUUUGGGGGUCCUCGAGUGGCGAACGGGUGAGUAACACGUGAGUAACCUGCCCUUGACUUCGGGAUAACUUCAGGAAACUGGGGCUAAUACCGGAUAGGAAUCCUUGCUGCAUGGUGGGGGUUGGAAAGCUUCGGCGGUUUUGGAUGGACUCGCGGCUUAUCAGCUUGUUGGUGGGGUAGUGGCUUACCAAGGCUUUGACGGGUAGCCGGCCUGAGAGGGCGACCGGCCACAGUGGGACUGAGAUACGGCCCAGACUCCUACGGGAGGCAGCAGUGGGGAAUAUUGCACAAUGGGCGGAAGCCUGAUGCAGCAACGCCGCGGGCGGGAUGACGGCCUUCGGGUUGUAAACCGCUUUCAGCAGGGGCGAAGCUUGUGGUGACGGUACCUGCAGAAGAAGCACCGGCUAACUACGUG